rnacentral:rRNA from 1 species
UUUGAUCAUGGCUCAGAUUGAACGCUGGCGGCAGGCCUAACACAUGCAAGUCGAGCGGCAGCACAGAGAAACUUGUUUCUCGGGUGGCGAGCGGCGGACGGGUGAGUAAUGCCUGGGAAAUUGCCCUGAUGUGGGGGAUAACCAUUGGAAACGAUGGCUAAUACCGCAUGAUAGCUUCGGCUCAAAGAGGGGGACCUUCGGGCCUCUCGCGUCAGGAUAUGCCCAGGUGGGAUUAGCUAGUUGGUGAGGUAAGGGCUCACCAAGGCGACGAUCCCUAGCUGGUCUGAGAGGAUGAUCAGCCACACUGGAACUGAGACACGGUCCAGACUCCUACGGGAGGCAGCAGUGGGGAAUAUUGCACAAUGGGCGCAAGCCUGAUGCAGCCAUGCCGCGUGUGUGAAGAAGGCCUUCGGGUUGUAAAGCACUUUCAGUCGUGAGGAAGGUGGUAGUGUUAAUAGCACUAUCAUUUGACGUUAGCGACAGAAGAAGCACCGGCUAACUCCGUGCCAGCAGCCGCGGUAAUACGGAGGGUGCGAGCGUUAAUCGGAAUUACUGGGCGUAAAGCGCAUGCAGGUGGUUUGUUAAGUCAGAUGUGAAAGCCCGGGGCUCAACCUCGGAACUGCAUUUGAAACUGGCAGAC